GGCAAGGUUGAAACUCAAAGGAAUUGACGGGGGCCCGCACAAGCGGUGGAGUAUGUGGUUUAAUUCGACGCAACGCGAAGAACCUUACCAGGUCUUGACAUUGAUGGACAGAACUAGAGAUAGUUCCUCUUCUUCGGAAGCCAGAAAACAGGUGGUGCACGGUUGUCGUCAGCUCGUGUCGUGAGAUGUUGGGUUAAGUCCCGCAACGAGCGCAACCCCUAUCUUAUGUUGCCAGCACGUAAUGGUGGGAACUCAUGAGAGACUGCCGCAGACAAUGCGGAGGAAGGCGGGGAUGACGUCAAAUCAUCAUGCCCCUUAUGACCUGGGCUACACACGUACUACAAUGGGAGUUAAUAGACGGAAGCAAUACCGCGAGGUGGAGCAAACCCGAGAAACACUCUCUCAGUUCGGAUCGUAGGCUGCAACUCGCCUACGUGAAGUCGGAAUCGCUAGUAAUCGCAGGUCAGCAUACUGCGGUGAAUACGUUCCCGGGCCUUGUACACACCGCCCGUCACACCACAAA
rnacentral:rRNA from 1 species